CGGCGGACGGGUGAGUAACGCGUGGGUAACCUGCCUCAUACAGGGGGAUAACAGUUAGAAAUGGCUGCUAAUACCGCAUAAGACCACGGUACUGCAUGGUACAGUGGUAAAAACUCCGGUGGUAUGAGGUGGACCCGCGUCUGAUUAGGUAGUUGGUGAGGUAACGGCCCACCAAGCCGACGAUCAGUAGCCGACCUGAGAGGGUGACCGGCCACAUUGGGACUGAGACACGGUCCAA
rnacentral:rRNA from 1 species